AACGAACGCUGGCGGCAUGCCUAACACAUGCAAGUCGAACGAGACCUUCGGGUCUAGUGGCGCACGGGUGCGUAACGCGUGGGAAUCUGCCCUUGGGUUCGGAAUAACAGUUGGAAACGACUGCUAAUACCGGAUGAUGUCUUCGGACCAGAGAUUUAUCGCCCAAGGAUGAGCCCGCGUAGGAUUAGCUUGUUGGUGAGGUAAAGGCUCACCAAGGCGACGAUCCUUAGCUGGUCUGAGAGGAUGAUCCGCCACACUGGGACUGAGACACGGCCCAGACUCCUACGGGAGGCAGCAGUGGGGAAUAUUGGACAAUGGGCGAAAGCCUGAUCCAGCAAUGCCGCGUGAGUGAUGAAGGCCUUAGGGUUGUAAAGCCCUUUUGCCAGGGAUGAUAAUGACAGUACCUGGAGAAUAAGCUCCGGCUAACUCCGUGCCAGCCGCCGCGGUAAAAC
rnacentral:rRNA from 1 species